rnacentral:rRNA from 1 species
UACAGAGGUCUCAAGCGUUGUUCGGAAUUAUUGGGCGUAAAGGGUGCGUAGGCGGUUUGGUAAGUCUGAUGUGAAAUCUAUGGGCUCAACUCAUAGUCUGCAUCGGAAACUGUCGGGCUUGAGUAUGGGAGAGGUGAGUGGAAUUUCCGGUGUAGCGGUGAAAUGCGUAGAUAUCGGAAGGAACACCUGUGGCGAAAGCGGCUCACUGGACCAUUACUGACGCUGAGGCACGAAAGCUAGGGGAGCAAACAGG